rnacentral:tRNA from 1 species
GGGGGCGAAUCCGUUCUGGUGAGCGGCACGGUCUUCAAAACCGUUUGUGAGAUUGCGAGAGUAAGCUUAGGUGGGUUCGAUUCCCACACGCCUCCGCCA